ensembl:snRNA U1 U1 spliceosomal RNA
CUACUUACCUGGCAAUGGGGAGGAAACUGUGAUCAGAAGGCAGUCACCCGGGUGAGGCCUCAGCCAUUGCACUCCGGCUGUGUGCCCCCUGCGAUUCCCAAAUGUGUGAAUAUCUCGAUUGCAUAAUUUAUGGUCAGUGCGGGGACUGCGUUCGCGCUCUCCACCU